ensembl:snRNA U6 U6 spliceosomal RNA
GUGCUUGCUUUGGCAACACAUAUACUAAAAUUGGAAUGAUACAGAGAGGAUUAGCAUGGCCCCUGCACAAGGAUGACACACAAAUUUGUAAAGCAUUCCAUAUUUUG